UCGUUUUGGUGUUGGAACAUGUAUGGUGGUGUUAGGAGUUAAACGUGCAUCUACGUUGUCUUUUGAAAAUGGUAUUCUCUGAGAUUUAAGAUAAGUGCUUGUUCUACUUUAGUUUUAGUUGUUAUAUUUCUUAAGUCUAAUUUUUCCCAUUAUCUUUUUAAAAGUAUUUUAUCUUAUGUCUUUUCAAAAAAAAUAUAACCUUAAAAUCUUUAAACUAAGUUGUUUUCCUUUCUUCAAAUUAAUUAAGUUGUUCUUUUUAAAUUGUAAUCCAUGCAUGUCGGUCACGAUCGCCGCGUUUGUGGUACCCCUUGUAUGGGCGGUCGUGACAAGAACUAUCAAAUAAGCACAAUUUUUUUGACUUCUGUUUCUUCUUUUCAGGUGCACAAAAUCAGAAUCUAUCAAUCAUAAAAGUGGAUGAGAAUCAAGACCAAUAGAAAAAAGUUGAAAACAAAGAAAAAAAGAGAGGAAAGAACAGAAGAUAUCAACACCAUUAUCAAAGGUGCACAAAAUCAGAAUCUAUCAAUGAUAAAAGUGGCUAAGAAUCAAGAUCAAUAGAAAAAAGUUGAAAAACAAAGAAAAAAAGGAAAGAACAUAAGAUAUCAAGACAUCAAAGGCAUACCAAGAGAAAAAAAAUCCUAAUAAGAGAUGAGCCACCUCUCAUUUUCAAGGAUGAAAAGAGAGAAAUACUGCUGCAACCAAUAGAAAAGAAGCAGGCAGGAGAUGCACGCCUAUAAACCUCUUGUAAUCUGCAAAUAUGUCUCAAUGUGAAGGAGAAGGAGAGAGAAUAAUAGAGGUAAUCAUUGCACAAAGAAGAAAGAGAGAGGAUGCACGCUUAAACCUUUAAUAUUCUACACUCUACAAUGUUGAAAAGAGAAGAGGAAGAAGAAAGAACACAUAAUAGGAUUCCUUAAUAUUCUAUAAACACAUAAUUUUAACAUCUUACAAUCUACAAUCUGGAAAAGAGAAGAAGCAGAAUGAAUGAAUGAAUAUAAAUUAGGUUACCUUAACAUAUAAUUACACACAUGCUUGAAGACUUUAAGAUUACACACCAAUCUGUGCAAAACAGAAGAGGAAGAAGGAGCAAAACAAAUGUAACGUAAUUAAUGUAUACAACUUUAAGCAGUCUAUUAGUUUUGAGAUUAAGAUACUAA